UUGUGACUUUAGACAGAUGCUGAAACCCAGUAUCCUAGAUCUUGACAUUGAUAAAAACAGGGCCAGGAGACCUUCUCCUGUUUUAAAGCCUUUAUUUGGAAUCAGCUUUGGGUGGGGGCCCGACGGGUCGCGCACACACCGCCAGCGCUCCCUAAAGUGACUCAGAGGAGGAGGAAUACGGCUCUGCCUACGGGGUGCAAUGUAGGCCGAGCCGGGGCUCCGUCCUCGGGGGUACACCCGGAGUCCGCUUUUGGCUCGAAAGUCCAGGGGUGUCUCCUCUAGCGAGUCUCUUUCCGGUCACGGCGAGGAAAGCGGGGUUGGAGGGUAGUGUCCCUUGGUCCCGACCUUCAGGCAUCGCUCUUAGUUUCUUUAUUCGGUGUUCCGAUGUCCAGUAGAUUGAGUUUUUUGUCCGAGGUGGUGUUUUUCGGCAGCCGAUUUGCAUAACUCCCAAUCGCCAUUUCGGGAGGUCUCCCUUCCCCGCCGCCGCUUCGGGAAGGCUCCGGUCGCCAUGUUGGAAAUCCCCUAACUUCAGUUGUCGUGCCGGGACAUCCCCGACCCCAGGCGCGGCAGGACAGGAGCAACGAGGGAACAGCCCGGCACCGGGUCAGAACUGGAACGCACCGGGUCAGAACUGGAAUGCCUGGAACAGGAGCUGAAGGGAAACACAUGCAAAGACCCGGCCGGCGGCCCCAGUCGCCGGGGUGUCUCCGAUCCUGGGCGCGGCCGGACCGGAGGAACGAGGGAACAGCUCGGCACCGGGUCAGAACUGGAACGCCUGGAACAGAGGCUGAACAGAACACUUGCAAAACCUGGCAAGAACCUGGUAAGCCCUGGCCACCAGGCACCCCCGGCCCCGGGCGCCCCCGGCCAGGAGUAGCGGGGGGGGGGGAAAGCAGCUCGGCACGGGCUCUGAACCGGAACGCAUGGAACAGAGGCUGUAGAGAACUGGAGAGAACCUUUGUACAACAUGGACUGCAGGAAUCUGCUAAUUGGGUGAGGUUUUCCAAAGCCAGUGGAAGCAGUCAGGAAGUUUCAG
rnacentral:lncRNA from 1 species